ensembl:lncRNA
AUCAACUAUAAUUUUAAAAUAUUUAGGAGUUCCUGUUGUGGCUCAGCAGGUUACAAACCCAACUAGUAUCCAUGAGGAUGCGGGUUCAAUCCCUGGCCUCACUCAGUGGGUUAAGGAUCCAGUGCUAUGAUGAGCUGCUAGGGGUCCAAUCAGAGCUGUAGCCACUGGCCUACACCAGAGCCACAGCAACGCGGGAUCCGAGCCGGGUCUGCGACCUGCACCAUAGCUCAUGGCAAUGCCAGAUCCUUCGCCCACUGGGCAAGGCCAGGGAUUGAACCAGCAACCUCAUGGUUCCUAGUUGGAUUCAUUAACCACUGAGCCAUGACAGGAACUCCAGAGCUUGAUUCUUUAUGAGUCAAACAAGGAUCCAAUCAGCACCAGCCGCAAUGCCAUCCAGUGUCCAUUUCUUGGUGGUGAGAGACCAUAUCCAUGGACUGUGAAAGGGAGUGUUUCCUGAAAGAGUAGACUCCCUCUGGGCCAAACUGGAUGACCGCCCCCGCCACUACCCGAGCUUGGGGAGGGCUGUAAUGAGUGCAGCAAAUGUGUGCUUGGCCUAAGGUAAGGGAUCUUCAGGGUUUGUGCGAUGGCCACUUCAGAACAGGGCGCCGAGGGUGAGAUGAGGGCUCUGUGAUGCUCCCUCACGUGAAAUUCAGAUGUGUGUCUGAGUGGCCCCUUGCUGCCCCCAUCUUUCUUUAGGCUCUCAAGAGUGAUUCCUAGCACAGUGGCUGUCCACCCGGCCAUUUUUUUGCCUGCCAUAACAGAAUGGUGUUAGAUAUCAGAGGAGUUUGUUAAUUGUUGCUCUUACACUUUGCCCUCAGUGUCAAAUGAGGUCACCCAAUUUCCUCUCUGCACAUUUACAAGAAGCAGCAUAAAACUCAAGCAAAAUAGCCAGGAGACACAGAGAAAGAUGGCUGAUGAGAUAAUGAGACCUGUUUAUUACAGUAGAGGAGAAAAUGUCCCAUGAAGGUGAAAUAUCCAUCCAGCUUUCCUGAAGAGUCACUAGGAGUUUUUGUUGUGGCCCCAAUCACAGUGCGAACAGUCUGCUAACAAAAUUGUCUUUGGAAAAGGGACUCAGCUUCAUGUUCUUCCCAGUAAGUGUUGUUCAUGUGAUUUUUAGAUACUGAUUUCCAUUGAGUUAAAGUGGUUUUGGUGUUGGGUGGGAAAUUUUUCUCAGGCUCUAAAGCAUGUGGGUAGCUUCUAGGUCCUGAAUGCUUUCCCCUCUAGAGCAGGGAAAGUUGCUGCCAGUGUUUUGCUGCUUAAAUAUCACCUAUCUUGGAGUUCCCUGGUGGCUCAGCAGGUUAAGGGAUCCAGAAUUGUCACUGCUGUGGCAUGGGUUUGAUCCCUGGCCUGGGAACUUCUGCAUGCCAUAGGUGAGGAAAAAAAAAAUCAGUUUUCUUUCUCCUUGUUUAUAUAUUAUGAAGAGUAAAAAAUUGGGAAACUUUGUCAAGAGUUCAUCUUCAAAUCUCCCCCCAGGCUUGUCCCCAGUGGAGUUUGUUUGGACACAUUAAACCCAGUAUGAUUUCUGGCUCCAACCAAAGUGGUUUUGGAAAUAAUUCCAGACUACCUAUGACAAACAUCCUUCCACUCUUCAUAAAAGACCCACUUUCUCUGUUUGGCCUCGGCUGAGAUUCCUGGCUCUGGUGCUCCAUGCGUCUGCACUUCCCUUGUUCCAUGGAUGGGCGGGAGGUAACUUUUUUAAGAGUUCUUUUAAUGCCAGAGGCAACAAAGAUGGUAUGUCAGCCAAGAACAACAUCUUGUGUUGAGCCUUCUCACUCUUGCCAUUUUCCAAAUCCUUUUCUUCAUUUUGGAAAAGCAGCCACUCCUUUUUAUUUCCAGCACAGCAAAGGGUUCAUUAUGAGGCCAGAGACAGGGAUUUCCUUUGGAAUAUUUUUCACAGGCUAACAAUAAGCUGGAAUUUUGCAGGCGGUUCACAAAUGCUUUCUUGGGCCACAGCUCCAGGUAUAGCAGUAUAGACCAUUCAAGUCAGGGGCAUCUUAACUGUACCCCGUUUUGUAGAGGAUCACAAAGGAGGCAAAAGCAUGAUGAGGGAAAACAAAAACUGUGGUUAAGUGGGGGAGAUGUCUGGGUGAUUUCACCCAAAGAUGAACAAAAGGAAACCUCCAGAAAAGCACAGGGGCCAGGCACUCUGAGUUUCUGUUAGGGAGGCAAUCACUGUGGGAACUCAGGAAGCAGGCAGCUUGUCUUUGGAAAUGGCACAAGACUUUCUGUGAUUCCAAGUAAGUGUCUCUGGCCAUCCCUAAUUUUGGUCAGCAAUGGCUUCUUCCCUUAAAUGAUUUUUCAAUAUACCGAUAAAUGUUUUUUGAACCCCCAAGAAAGUUCUGGUAAGAGCUGGGAGGUUAGUGCUGAGCAGGAAGAUGAGCAGGUUACCCUGGCGUAAUUCAAAAGCCAGCCAAACAAUCACAGGCAAGCACAAUACCUCACCCCAGCCUCAGUGACUCCAGCUUGUAAUGGCCAACCAUCCUGGCCCAGGUGUCUCCCCUGAUCCCAGGAGUCCAAAACCCUAGGAUAGAGAACCUGAGACCCCUCAGCCUGGGGAGCAUAGGAAGGCCUGUCUGAGAUCCAAGAGCCGCUUUUAAAUACGUUAUGGACUUCUAUUUAAUGUUGUUAUUCAUUUUAAUUUGUCUAAGUAAUACCUGAAAACGUCUCACUAUAAAAAAAUAGUUCGGAUUACAGAUAACACCAAUAUUCCCCCUUCCUUCAAUAUCAGUUUCCUCCCCAAAAGUGACCACUGAGACUGAUUUGGGGUGUUGUGAUGAGUUUCUCUUUGGAGCAUGUUGACCCCAAAUCUCCUACCUUCAAGCAAGGAAGCUCAAGACAUAGAGAACUCAGGCUGCAGUUUGCAGAUUUCCAUUAGAUAUAAGGAACAGUUGCUUGAAUGCAAAGCUGCUGGCAAAGGAAAGCUACCUUCCCAGGAGCUCUUAAAGAAUACAUAGGUCUUUGGGCAGAGAACACCUUGGCUAAAGACAGGAGGAUGGAUGAGGUGACCUAUGAAAUCCAGCCAGACUACUAUAGGACUCAGGGAUGGUCCACCCCAGGGCAAGCCUCUGUAAUAGCCCUUCUCUUUGACCUGUCCUCUGGCUAUUGUUACAGCCUGAGCUCCUCUCGACACUGCUCCUGUACUAUGAAUGCUUUGAUUUUCUCAGCAUCUGUGUGGUUUUUGCAAAGAAAGGAAACCCUGUGGGUACUCUGGAGUCGGGAGUUCCCAACUCACUUUUGGGAAGGGCACCAAACUCUUGGUCACACCAAGUAAGUUCUCCUUUCUGGCUAAUUAUUCUUCCCAAGAUGCCUGCCUUCCAUCAUGCAGAAGCUGUCAAAACACAGGUGGUGUUUGCUUUGCUUGGUUUGUGUUGAGUGAUUCGUGAUACCAGUUGGAAAACAAGGUUAUUAAUGCAUAUAUUCCCUGGGGCAUUGUACUUGGCUUUUAAGAUCCAUGUAGUCUCUCCCUGAGAAAAUAUGUGAACCUCCAUGAGGAGGAAGGUCCAGGGAAAGCAGAGGAAAAGAAGGUAGGAACUGGAUGAAAAUAGAUAAAGGGCUUGCAGGAAUAACAAAAAGAUGGGAUCCCAGGAGACCAAGCAGUAGCCACUUUGAGUGAAUUUCCCAGGAGUUGCUUGUGCCAAGGCCCAUUCUUUCAAAGAAAAUUAUGGCAAAUAGAAUCAGGCUGGGAGGUUGCUAGUUAUUAGUAUUCAUCCCAUGCUCUAACCUAAUUACAAGGAGAUUGUUUUGGCCAUGGGCAGUCAUUUCGAGUUUUGUUUUCCUCCUUGCCUCCUCCACCUCCACCUGUCUUCCUAGAGGCCUGAGUCAAGGUUAUUGCAAUAGCACUGAACACUGUGUAACACCCGUACAGACAAAUUAACCUUUGGGGACGGGACCUCGCUCACUGUGAAGCCAAGUAAGUUGAGUUCUUCUCUGGCUGUGCCUUUAGGGGCAAUCAAUCAAAUCGUUAGUUUGAAAAAUACUUUAAUCCUGUGCAUCUGCUUGGGCUCUUUAUUAAUGCUCUUUCCCCAGGCCAAAGAGAGUUGGUUUCCUUCUCUGCUUUAAAAUUAGAAGUGUGCGUGUGUAUGUGUGCACACACACACACAUACACACACACACACUCUUGCUCUGGCUCAUGGUGAGGGACUUUCAGAAGCAUAUACAACAUUUUCAAAGAAUUAGAGAUAUAAACAAUAACUGAACCAAUGAGAAUGUCAGGAAGGGCCUCCAGAGGGGACCCAGUGCCCCAUGACCCCUCAUGCUUCCCAGCAUGCUCCCUGGCCACAUGGGAUACGCUUGGCUCUGUCUGAUGGUCUAGUGCAGGAAAUUACUCAGCUUCUCUCUGUAAUCAAUUCCGAAAUUUAGCGACCCUUGCUGCCAGAAAGUACCUUCGUACAUCUAACUUUGACUACCCACUACCCACUGAGAUCUGAAUCUCUGAAAGUAGCCACUGGAACUUUGGGCAUCUAGUUUGAGAAAAAAAUUUCUACAGAGGCACUAAGUCUACUUCCACAGCAUCCCUGAGAUGCCACGUGUCCCCUCUGGACAUUCUGAACCCAAGCGAUUUACAGGUUAGGCAGUAUAGAGUAAGAUUUGGAGACAGAAAAAAAUUAAAUUCAAGUCCCAGCUCCACUAUUUCACUAGCUGUGUGACCUUGGACAAAUUACUCAACCUCUCUGAGCCCUGGUUUUCCCAUCCAUAAAAUAAGGAUGAAACUUUCCCUGCCUUAUUGUGUUAUUGAAAGGAAUAGAUAAAAUAAUAAGAGCUAGAGUAUUUAGCAUAGUGCCCAAAACACAGAAAGAGCUCAUUAAACCCUAGCUAUUAAUAAUAAUGAUAAACAUCAUCUCCAACACACAGUAGAGCUUUUGUUUUGCCCCUCAGGCUCUUCUGUCAAGGCUCUGUCAUGCAUCAGGAGAAGAGCUGGCAUGGGGGGAGGGUGGAGAAUGUCAGCCUGUUCUAUGAAAGUCUUCACCUGGGAACAGAAAGUGUCUACGUGGGAAGAGAAAGAAUCCUGGCUAAUUUAAAUACCAAAUCAUCCAAGUGUCAGAGGCUGGGAGAGAUUUCUGUAGAGAGCUGCAUGGCCUGAGCUCCUGAGGCUACACAAGAAACCCUUAGAGCAGGGAUGUGGCUCAUGGUACAGCCAGGGGAUGGCUGCGUGGAUGAAACCUCGCGCCACCCUCUCACCAGGCUGACCCCAGCGUGACUGCCCCCAAAGUGCCCCCAAGACACAGGCUCCCCAGGUGGAGGGACAGGGACAGAGAGAAGAUGGACGCUUCACAGGGAAGAGCUGCUUGUCCCCAGGGUGUGUUUCUGCUCCUCUGGGUUGUCAAGCUCGGGAGAAACAUGGUGCCUUAAAAGAGCCCCUAAGUGAAGCUCUCAGGCCCAGGGUGGAGGAUCAGCCCUCUAGAGAGGCAAAUUGGGGCAGUUAAUGUUGAAGACAGGGGACUGAGGGAAAGGUGGGAGCCAUGCCACAUAUCUCUGAUUAGGAAAGGACGCAUUAAACACAAGCUGGAGGCACUGCUUCUCCAGCCCCACGGGCACUCAGACCACAGGCCAAUACCGCUAGAGGAAGGGAGUGGUGGUAAAACCUUCCUAAUAGGUUUGUGAAGAGUGAAAAUGAGCUGUCAGGAGGAGUUGCCAGAGCGCUUUCUCUGGAAGGUUUUUGAAAGGAGACAGACAGCCUCCUCUCAGGGCUGAUUGAAGUGCAGCCCUGCCUGGAGGCAGGAGAGAAAUGAAAGAACCUCUCUAAUUCUCUUCCCAGUCCCCCAGCUGCUCUGGGGGGGAAAAAAACAAAAAACAAAAAAA